UACGGAGGGGGCUAGCGUUGUUCGGAAUUACUGGGCGUAAAGCGCACGUAGGCGGCUUUGUAAGUUAGAGGUGAAAGCCCGGGGCUCAACUCCGGAAUUGCCUUUAAGACUGCAUCGCUAGAAUUGUGGAGAGGUAAGUGGAAUUCCGAGUGUAGAGGUGAAAUUCGUAGAUAUUCGGAAGAACACCAGUGGCGAAGGCGGUCUGCUGGGCCAAGACUGACGCUGAGGCGCGACAGCGUGGGGAGCAAACAGG
rnacentral:rRNA from 1 species